ACCAUUUCUCAAAUAUCGCUUCUCAGUUUGGUUACAUAAAUCGCGACUUCAUAAUGUGUAAAUCGAUAUUAUAUAUAAAAAAUCAAAGGUCUGAUCAAAUGAAAAUCAUUAAUAUUAUGACAUAUUUUUUUGUCAUCUUUGAUGUGCUUUGGACAAAUGUUCAUUUUGAGAAUGUUCAACAUAAAUCCCUAACAAUUGUGAUUUCCUUGAUUAAAUAUGAGUACAAUACGACCAAUGCAAGAAGAUGUGGUGGACUACACAACUCCAUCUUGUGGCACCUUAUGGUGAUUCAUGUGGAUGAUGUAUGCAUUGAGGGAUGGUAUAUUUGAGUCAAGCUUGGCAUAUGAAGAAUCCAAGUGCUUGCUCCAUAAGUUGAUGAAUCAACGUUGUGAUAAAGUGGAGGUACACAUUCCGGCUCAUUGUGAUAACAACAAUUGUAUUCCGCCAACAAGAUAUUGUGGCCCAAAACAAGAUUCAUGAAGACUUAUUACCAAUGUUAGUGUAAUUUGAUUGUGAUUUAAAAGAUAAAAUUUGAUUGUCAUGAAUAUAAUUAGUGGACUUGCAUUCUUAGUCUUUCAUAUUUCUCUAACUUUCAUUAGUGAGUGGGAGUCUACCAAUUGUUUGUGGUGAUAGUGAUCUUUAAGAUGAUCAUUCACUUACUUAUAUAUAUUGUACAAAUAAGGUUCACUUUGUAUUGUAAAACAUACUUUAGAAGAAAAUAAUACAAAAACUUCUACAUUAUC